ACCCGAUAGACGUUGUGAAGCCGAGUCGUCCCUCCUCAACGUUUGGACCUGUUGCUUGUCGGCAGGCCCUCAGGAAACGUGGCGUCACGAUCCACCUGAUGUCGCACACGCAGACUGUGCAGCUUCCAGUGACCCUCCACCUGCUGGGCAAAGAGACAAAUGCGACAAGUUUGCAGAAGGUUUGACCACCUUGGAUGAGUCACUGGACCAGGAGCAGCUUGGCCUGUUGGUGUUGAUCACGCUCGACCAACUGUCGCGGCAAAAGGUUCCAGUGAACACUUGGGAAGCAAGUUGAAAAAUGAGGAGCAGAGUAAAACGAAACUGCGUUUCUGGUUUGUAAUUGGUGUCGACCAACCUGUACUUUGUCUUUCAGAUGGCGCUGUUGCAGUGCGAUGAGGUGAAACGUGACUCGGCGCCAUCGGCUGGUAAACAGUCUGAUUUCAACAAGCCUCUUUUCAUUAUUCAGAGUUGAAGAUUGUUCUUGGGUCCUCCAUGCCACAAGAGGGAGUAACCUGCUCACCGCCAGAGUCCACCCACGAGCACAGACCUGCAGGCAACACUUCUUCCUGUUAUUCACAAGGCAGCAGUAAACAUGAUCGGCUUCCUGCUCUCCAAAGUCCCAACAGUCUAUGUCCCUGGUCAACACACCUGUCCCACGUUCCUCUCAAGAGCCGACCACU